CUUGUGUGUAGAGAACCACCAAAGAAAAGGACAAAGACAACCAAAACAGCUGAGUUAUCCAUUGUGCCUUGCGAAGAUGGAGUACCAACAAGAAUGUGUUUUCCCCCAAGCAAAAGCUUGGAAACUACAACCAAAAAAAGGGGGAAACAUGCUAACUCUAGUGCUGGAGCAUCAAAAAGCAAAAGCUUGAAGAAUACAAACAAAAAGGGAAAAGGGGGGAA